UACGGAGGAUGCGAGCGUUAUCCGGAUUUAUUGGGUUUAAAGGGUGCGUAGGCGGAUCGUUAAGUCAGUGGUCAAAUUGAGGGGCUCAACCCCUUCCCGCCAUUGAAACUGGCGAUCUUGAGUGGAAGAGAAGUAUGCGGAAUGCGUGGUGUAGCGGUGAAAUGCAUAGAUAUUAGGAGGAACACCAGUGGCGAAGGCGGCCUGCUGGGCUUUUACUGACGCUGAGGCUCGAAAGUGUGGGGAGCAAACAGG
rnacentral:rRNA from 1 species